CCGCCACGGUGUUGUCUGCGGUUUUAAUUCCUCCCCGUGGGGUCAUGAGGAACCGAAGCUGGCGGAGUCCCAGGAAUAUGCCCGCUACCCCAAGCAGGAGGGGAUGUCAAGGGCAUGGUGGGGAAUUUGCAGGGACAUCUCUGUGAUGAGCUGAGGGGCUGAUGGUGUCCAGAGGACCCCAGAGACCCCCAAGAAGAAGUCUGCAGGAAUGAGAUUCCCCCAGCCAGUUGCCGGCUUCUUCUCACCUCUUCUCUGCAGACCUGCUGCCCAUUUACCUCCUGAUGGGUGAGGAGGCCAGCCCUGGGAGCAAGGGCUUGUGACCACAUCAGCUCUGUCUCCAAGUUCCAGCUCCCAGCGCACGCCCUGCAUUUCCAUGCCUCUGUGUCUCUGCGUGCGCUGUCUGAUCUGCCAGGGGAACUUUUACUCAUCCUUCAAACUCAGUUCCAGCAAUUCCUCUUCCAGGAAGCCUUCCCUGAUUUCUUCUCCAUCAUCUCUGCCUCCCCCACUACCCCACCAACAGAGUCACUGUAAUUAAUCUUUUUAAUGUAUAUCUGUCUUGUUCAUCGGGGGGCGGGGCAGGUUCCUUGGGGAUAGGGAACAAGUCUCAUUUGCCUAUUGUAUCCUGAGCACUGGGCACACAG
ensembl:lncRNA